CUGCAGGAUUUAGCAGCACUAGCCAUGUAAUCAAUUCAGCUGCUCUUCAUCAGAGUUAAGACGAUGUUACAUAGAGGUCAGGAAGUCGGGAAGUUCAUAUUAAAAAGACAAAUGCAGGAAAACAGAGUGAGGCAGGUCCGGGAAGAGAAGCUGAUAGCUCAAAAGGCUUCAAUUAAAUAUAUAGAAACCAGGUCUAAUAGUCAAAAUAUACUGUAAUGACGAUGUUACCGUCUACUACAGUAGGGGGCGACUUGCACCUUUAGUCUAACCACAGUAAACCUAAAGACGAGGAAGUAAAGUUGCCCAUGAGCAGUCACGUAAUUUCCUGCAACCUGUGGAGGUAACUGUCGCGGAGGUCCGUCUGCAUCUGUUUUUGUUUUCUCACAGCGGAAAAAGUAAAUAAAAAUAUGAUGAAGGAUGCAUCCAUCCAUAAUUAAGACUGGAUGCCAGUUAAAGAGUACAACUGGGAACGGUUUACAGCUGGGCUGCCCUCUGUGUUCCAAAUUCACCACCACACGUGCAAGGACCAUGUGCAGACAUCUGGAGUCCCACAUCAAAAAUGCAGUUUAUUUCCAAGAUACAAACAUUUGCAGAUGCAACCUGCCUUGCCGAGACACGGGUCAUUACCACUGCCCGCACUGUGAGAAAACAAUCAUGCGCAAAGAGGAUAUGACAUUACCCGUAACUGGAUGUCGAAACACAUGUGAUACAGUGCCACCUUCGGCAGAAAUCGGGGCACCAUCGUCAUCAUCCUUUUUCACUCCCUGUGCUCCCCAGCAGAGGUCAGCGCAGCCUCCUUUGUAACCUUCCCACAUCAGCUGGAGAGGACUCUGUAAUGUCAGACCAUUGUUGCACACUUGUUGACACUCCGCCAUCCUGUCAGCCAAACUCGGCUCCCCCUCCAGACGCCUGUAAACCACCUGCCGAGGCGGCACAGUCUGAAGCCACAGAGCUGAUCUCUUCACGUGUGAUGUAUUUAAAGUCAGUGAAGUGCCCUCACUGCGCCGUCGUUCUCUACAAAAAGAACUUAUUGGUCCACAUACAAAGAAAACAUUAAAGCUGCAUCUCAUAGUAAAAGCAAAGGUGUUAGUAAAGCUUAUGGCCUCUUUGACUUCCCGAAAGGCAUUCAUGUGUGACUUGGACGACUGAGCUGCCUCAAAACAACAGUGGAUCAUUGACAGUAUGUGGAGAAAAACACAGUAGAAAAUUUGCUGACACAUAUGUAUUCCACACUGAAUUGAUUAUAUUUUGGUCUUUAUAUUAUAAUUUCUUGUUUAGAGGGAAUUCAACAUAUUUUUUUGCACUUUAUUAAAUGAGCUUUGUUUGGUUCACAGUUCCAUAUGUGUUUAGGUCUCCUCUGCCUCCAUGUAACCUCUUCUGAUUGGUUGCCUAUCACAAGCAUAAGGCUUGAACAGCAGAUGGAUGGAGCUUCUUUGUGGCUGAGAUGAUCAUAUUUGGGAUAUCCACUCUCACUGGCAUCAUACAGAUCCAAAAGUUUAGAAGAUUGCCUGAAACUGAGUGUUCAAGUGAAUUAUUCAGUGGUCAAAGAUCACAACAUUUUGACAAUACCUGAAAUAUUUAUGUACCAAGUCUUAUAAAAUUUCACUUAAAAGGGAAACCAGGUUAAAUGUGUCAAUAUUCAGAAUAGAGAAAAAAAAAUCUGGAAAGUUUUCAGCUUUACGUCUCAGGAACAGGUGGUCAAAUUUUGAGAGUGUGUUGGUUUAGGCCGAGGCAGAAGUCCUAAAAAAACUAACUCUGUGGAGCAGAGCAGGCCCAUGCAUAUCUUUGUAGUUGCAAUCAUGUAUUUGCAGUUUCCCUUUCAAAGCAGGAGAGCCACAAUACAAGGGGCAUCAAGAUGAUCAGUAUUUUAUUUAUUUUAAAGUGAGUGAGGGAAUGAAUUUGCAGUGUGUAGCAUUUCUGUCAGAAAUCGGUCCAUAAUGAACACAGGUGCAGUAAUUGCACUCUGCAGUAAGCCACUUUCAUUUAGUUUUUUUCUUCUUCUCUCAUCUGAAAUUUGACUGUUAUUUUAUGAAACCUUUAUUAAAUCUUUUUCAAACUGCCACAAUUACUGGGACUUGGAACAAUCGGAAGUUUCUAAGAUGAAUUUUUGAAUCUUCCAGUAUAUAAGUCUGACUUUAAUAAAUGCCUAUAUUUCAGAGGCUAUACUCCUUCACUUUUACUUGUCUAAUAAAGUUGAAUCGUUGAUUCAACUCUUGCCAAAGUAUCUGUACGUCUGCUAAAGUGACAAGUGUGUUUACUUGUGCCAUUAAUUAUUUUUUGAUAUUAAUAGUUCUUUAUGUAAUUCCCUCUGGGAUUAAUAAAGUGUUCUGAUUCUGAUUAUUUACUGUUGGAACAGCAGCAUCCUGUGGGUUGUGGAUUAUACGAGUCAGACAUUUUUCUCAGCCACUUUCAGC